AGGAAAAUUCCUGGAGUUAUUCAACCCAUUGUUUCUGGGAACACAUAAGUGAAAGAACAUGUCUAAGGUAAACUAACGAGAGCUAGAUCAUUUGGACAGUAUGCGGAUUGGUCCACUUUAUUGAUGAUAUCUUGUUAAUUAGAACUGAUGAGCAAAAAGUGCUUCCUCCCCACUUCCCCACAACUUUUGCAAUGAGAGCCAUUACACUGAUACAAUGACUAAUAAGUAGCUGGAAUGAAAGAAGAAAUGAGAUCAUCGCCCUACCUU